rnacentral:rRNA from 1 species
UUCGGACUGGAGUCUGCAACCCGACUCCACGAAGUUGGAUUCGCUAGUAAUCGCGCAUCAGCCAUGGCGCGGUGAAUACGUUCCCGGGCCUUGUACACACCGCCCGUCAAGCCAUGGGAGCCGGGGGCGCCUGAAGUCCGGGACCGCGAGGACCGGCCUAGGGCGAAACUGGUAACUGGGGCUAAGUCGUAACAAGGUAUC